GACUAACAACCCCCGGACAAAUUUGGAAAAAAAAAUUCAGCUAAAGUGGGUGAUGCUUUAAGGAACAAUGAGACACAGCCUAGUGUGGGGCCACAUGUAGAGGGGAUAAGCAAGGCUGUAGUAAGCGCCGUUACCAACUUGGUACUUUGUGGUUAUAGUUUUCUCCAAGUCGCGCUUGAAGAAAGUAUGAACAUGUGCAAAACUGAGAAACUCUAUCGAUCAACCAACUGGACAUUCAAGUAUCUCACCGGAGAUUUGUUCUCCUGUCCACGCGAUGAAUCCUUGGCCCACUGCAUCAGUGAAGACUGUCGCAUGGGAGCAGGCAUAGCGGUGAUGUUCAAGAAGAAGUUUGGUCGAGUCUCAGAGUUAAAGGAGCAGAGUGAGUCAGACUAGUUACUAAAGUCUUUGUUUUGGAAAAAAAAUGUUUUAUGUUUUUUUUUUUGCAGUUUGUUCAAAUGUCUGAUUUCAACAGCAAGUGCUAAAUCAUAUCCUGUUUUUGUAUUUUUUUAUGUAUGUCCUAAUAGAGAAGCUUCCAGGGCAGUGUGCUGUCCUGACACAUGAUCAACGUUUCAUCUACUAUCUGAUCACAAAGAAAAAAGCCAGCCAGAAACCCACGUAUGUCAACCUAAGACAGAGUCUGGAAGACAUGAAAUCUCACUGCUUAGAAAAUGGUGUCAAUAGGAUAUCAAUACCCCGAAUUGGCUGUGGCCUGGACCAGCUGCUGUGGUCAAAGGUGUCAAAGAUCCUGGAACAGAUCUUUAAAGAGACAAAUAUCUCCAUCACAGUGUACAGCCUGCCCUGUGUUGGGUCAAAGCUUCAAAUGCAUGCCAUGUAGUACAU